rnacentral:rRNA from 1 species
UAGUCCACACCGUAAACGUUGUACACUAGGUGUUAGUGAUUUGUUUCACUAGUGCCGCAGCUAACGCGUUAAGUGUACCGCCUGGGGAGUAUGCUCGCAAGGGUGAAACUCAAGGGAAUUGACGGGGGGCCCGCACAAGCGGUGGAGCAUGUGGUUUAAUUCGAUGAUACGCGAAAAACCUCACCAGGAUUUGACAUAGACUAGACGGAUAUAGAGAUAUAUCUUCCCUUCGGGGGCUGGUUUACAGGUGCUGCAUGGCUGUCGUCAGCUCGUGUUGUGAGAUGUUGGGUUAAGUCCCGCAACGAGCGCAGCCCCUACUGUUAGUUGCCAUCAGGUUAUGCUGGGCACUCUAGCGGAACUGCCGGUGACAAACCGGAGGAAGGUGGGGAUGACGUCAAGUCCUCAUGGCCUUUAUAUCCUGGGCUACACACGUGCUACAAUGGGCUGUACAAAGGGUAGCAAGACCGCAAGGUGGAGCCAAUCCCAAAAAGCAGUCCUC